AACGAACGCUGGCGGCAUGCCUAACACAUGCAAGUCGAACGAGAUCUUCGGAUCUAGUGGCGCACGGGUGCGUAACGCGUGGGAAUCUGGCCUCGGGUUCGGAAUAACAGUGAGAAAUUACUGCUAAAACCGGAUGAUGUCUUCGGACCAAAGAUGUAUUGCCCAGGGAUAAGCCCGCGUAGGAUUAGCUAGUUGGUGGGGUAAUGGCCUACCAAGGCGACGAUCCUUAGCUGGUCUGGGAGGAUGAUCAGCCACACUGGGACUGGGACACGGCCCAGACUCCUACGGGAGGCAGCGGUGGGGAAUAUUGGACAAUGGGCGAAAGCCUGAUCCAGCAAUGCCGCGUGAGUGAUGAAGGCCUUAGGGUUGUAAAGCUCUUUUACCAGGGAUGAUAAUGACAGUACCUGGAGAAUAAGCUCCGGCUAACUCCGUGCCAGCCGCCGCAGUAA
rnacentral:rRNA from 1 species